CCUACGGGUGGCAGCAGUGAGGAAUAUUGGUCAAUGGACGAGAGUCUGAACCAGCCAAGCAGCGUGAAGGAUGACUGCCCUAUGGGUUGUAAACUUCUUUUAUAAAGGAAUAAAACGAGGCACGUGUGCCUUUUUGCAUGUACUUUAUGAAUAAGGAUCGGCUAACUCCGUGCCAGCAGCCGCGGUAAUACGGAGGAUCCGAGCGUUAUCCGGAUUUAUUGGGUUUAAAGGGAGCGUAGACGGGUUGUUAAGUCAGUUGUGAAAGUUUGCGGCUUAACCGUAAAAUUGCAUUUGAUACUGGUAGUCUGGAGUGCAGUUGAGGUAGGCGGAAUUCGUGGUGUAGCGGUGAAAUGCUUAGAUAUCACGAAGAACCCUGAUUGCGAAGGCAGCUUACUAAACUGUGACUGACAUUGAUGCUCGAAAGUGUGGGGAUCAAACAGGAUUAGAUACCCCUGUAGUC
rnacentral:rRNA from 1 species